rnacentral:lncRNA from 1 species
GGGCCUGCGUCUGCCGCCGUUUUUAAACGGCCCCGAAGUUGGGAGCUCUGGCUGGGCCACCUCCGGGCUGGGGGCCCGGCCUGGGGCCGCCCCUCUUUUCCCGCCCGGAGCCGCAGUGUCCAGAGGGGCGAAGUUUGCGGCCACCGCCGGCCGUGCAGUCUCCCGCGCUUCCCCCGCCGGAGCGCCGGCCCCGCAUUCCUCCGGGUUGAGCAACAGCUUUUCCUCCGAGGGCGGCUGGCCGGGCAAGGCGGGGCCGCCAGCGCUGGGGCCCUCGCGGGGCGCGGCCCGAGUGUCCGGGGCCUCUGGCAGCGCCCCGGGUUUAAGUGGAGCGCGGCCGCCAGACCCUCCCCGGGGAGCCGAGCUCGGAGAGGGGGGCCGCAGAGCCCAGGCCCCAGCCUGCCCUUCCUGCAGCGCCGGCGGGAUUGCCGAAAGACCAAGCGGGUGCCAGGCCUCACCCGACCUUGAUGUUGGCGUUAGUCCGGGUUGACCGCCCACUCUGACGCUCUAUACAGAGAGCUCCUUUGCUUCCAUUUUUACUCCAAUCCUGGAAAUUCUUUGUCGAUGAAAAGGGGACAGUUUAUAGUGAACUCCAAAAGAGGGGUCCUAACCUAACCCAGCUCUUUGAAUUUAAACACUUACAAUAAUCAUAUGUGUGUGUGUGUAUGUGUGUGUAUAUAUAUAUGUACACAUACAUCUGUGUACACAGACGUAUGUGUAUACAUACAUAUAUAUGUAUGCAUACAUGUAUGUAUGCAUACAUGUAUGUAUGCAUAGAUGUAUGUGUAUAUAUGUAUGUAUACAUAUAUACACUCACACACACAUAUAUACAUACAUAUUUGAGACAGAGUCUUGUUCUGUCCCCCAGCCUGGAGUGCAGUGGCAUGAUCUCGGCUCACUGCAACCUCCGACUCCCGGGUUCAAGCAAUUCUCCCACCUUAGUCUUUGAGUAGAUGGGACUACAGGUGCGUGCCAUGCCAGGCUAAUUUUUUUAUUUUUAGUAGAAACAGGGUUUCACCAUGCUGGCCAGGCUGGUAUUGAACUCCUGGACUCAAGUGAUCUGCCUGCCUCGGCCUCCCAAAGUGCUGGGAUUACAGGCAUGCACCACCAUGCCCCACCCUUCAUAUUUUUCUUUUCCUGCCUCUUAAAUCUUGAGCUUAGGUCUUGAAUUUUUUUAGCUUUAUUUUAUUUUAGUAUACUUUUUAUUUUGGAAAAUUGUUAGAUGUACAUAAAAGUUGCAACAAUAGUGUAGAGAAUUCCCAUGUACUCUUCACCCCGCUUCCCCCAAAAUUAGUAUCUUACCUAACCAUGGUACGUUUGUCAAAAUGAAGAAUUAACAUUGGAACAAUGCUAUUAACCAAACUACAGACUUUAUUUGGAUUUCACAUGUUUCCACUCCUGUCCUUUUUGUGUUUCAGGAUUCAGUCUGGGCCAUCAUCUUGCAUUUAGGGGUUUGAAGCCUUUUAGUAUGUAAUCCAGAUUUCAUUGUGUAGAGUCUCUCCCCUUGGCAAUGAGGCAGGAGGCAGAGUCCCUGGCACUGGAUUGACCUCCCUGUCCUUGUCCUGAUGGCCCAGGAAACACCUCGAGCCCUGGAUAUCCUGAGAAUGCUCUUAAGGGAUUCCUGCUGGGUCUGCCUGCUGGCUCUGGUAGCACCUGGUAUAAAUCUGGAUCCCAAGGCCUGCACCUGGUCCUACUGGAUGGAGACAAGGAAGUCCAUGGGGUUCUUUAGAGAACACUCAGAGCUAAGGAGGUAAGCAGGUGCAUGACCUCCCUGUCUUUUUUUUUACUUUUUAUUUUUAAAUUGAGAUAGGGUCUUACCCUGUCACCCAGGCUGGAGUACAGUGGUGUAAUCAUGGCUCACUGCGGCCUCAACCUCCUGAGCUCAAGUGAUCCUCCCACCUCAGCUUCCUGAGAAGCUAGGACUAUAGGCAUGUGCCACCAUGCCUAGCUAAUUUUCUUUCUUUUUUUUUGUUUGUUUGGAAGAGACAGGGUCUCCCUAUUUUGCCCAGGCUAGUCUUGAACUCCU